GCUUACGGCCAUACCACCCUGAACACGGAUCCGUCCGAUCUCGGAAGCUAAGCAGGGUCGGGCCUGGUUAGUACUUGGAUGGGAGACCGCCUGGGAAUACCAGGUGCUGUAAGCU
rnacentral:rRNA from 1 species